UUGAACCUUUUACCUUCUCAGUGACUAGUCUGCUAGAGAUCCUACAAGGCCCAGAAAACUUCUUGGACCACUCUGGGCCAGAAAAAGUAGAGACAGUAGCCUUUGACUGAAUGAACUCUGUAGCAACUCUGGAUCUGAAAAUCACUCAACCCCAAUACCACUGUUCCACAGCUGUUUCUUGAAGUAAAAAAGAAUGACAAGUUUGGGGGUCAAAGGGAACAAUGGCAAAUCUGAACAAGAAGAAAAUGGAAAUUCUCCCUCAUAUUCUCUCCCAGAUCUCUUCUUCCACACUCCCCAACAACAACCUCCCAGGGCUCUAAAUGGAUUAGGAGAAGGAAGCCUGGUAAUGUCAACAUCAAAGGAUAAGGUGCAGCAAAAUCGUGCCUGUGCCUUGAUUCACAGGUGCCAGGAAUAGUGAGGAGUUGCAGGAGAGCAAGCUUGCAGGGAAAAGGGGAUUAGUAGGGACUAAGAAUGUAGCUACUAUAAUCCCACAUAAUGAACCAGACUCUGCUCCUUCUCCACACCCUAAGCACUCAACAAGCAGGUACAAGUUACUGGCUUCAGCCUCCCUCACUAGAGGGCCCCAUUGUUGCCAGUCCCAGACAGCUUCUUCCCUCCAGCUUGUACAGUUGCACAAGGAGUCUUGGAAGAUGUUGCCUUCCUGCUGGCUGCUGAGAAUUGGGCCCUUACAGGUCCAAAAACUGAAGGUGCAGAGGAACAGAGACAUUGGGAACAAAGCACAUGGUGUUUCCUUACCGCCUUGGUGCACUGCACAUCCUUUCCCAGCAGCCAGUUGAGCUCCAAGUUGCCCUCUCCAUGGUAGCAGGACUGCAACCGCUCCUUGAUUUGCAAGUUGAUGGCCCGGAUGGGGAAGGCACAGAGGGCAGAGUCAUCAGGGGGGUGGUGGUACUGCUUCUGCCCCUUGGAGAAGAUGGCAAACAGGACAUCUUCGUCGCUGCUGAUGUUGAAGGCCUGAGCUAGAGCUUCCCCUGGCUUUGCAAGGCAGGACAACAGGAUCCUGCAUUUUCUCAAAGCCUGGAUGGUUGGUGGAGCCCAGCAGCACUACCUGAGGCAGGAAUUCUGGUGAGAAAUUCUUGGUCAUCAGUAGAGGAAAAGAAGUCUGAAGGUCAGUUUUAUCUGGUCACUGCUGGGGAAGUCUGGCUGUUCCAUCAUCUGCGAAUUUAGCCCUGGGCCUUGAUCACAAAGCUCUGUCUCCACUCUUGAAUGCUUUUAUCUUGUCUGCAUUCCAAGAAGUUGCCAGGGAGCAGAAAGGACCCCUGAGGAUAUACACUAAGACCAGCAAGGGGGGAUGCUAGGCAAGGGGAUGAGGGUCAGGAAGCCCAGCCAUCUUUGGACUGUCUUGCUUCCCCUGACUUUUAGGAUGAACAGCAGUGGCCUGGAAGCUGCACCAAAAGAGGCAGCAAUCAUCUAAGAGAACCUUUCUUAAGCUGAAUAGAGUGCUUGGGCAAUCUUGCUGACAAGUACUGACAGAACUCUGGGUGUACUGAUGCCAAGAGUGGAAACACUCCAGCUAGGA
rnacentral:lncRNA from 1 species